rnacentral:rRNA from 1 species
ACACCGGCAGCUCUAGUGGUAGCUGUUUUUAUUGGGCCUAAAGCGUUCGUAGCCGGUUUGGUAAGUCACUGGUGAAAUCCUGUAGCUUAACUAUGAGAAUUGCUGGUGAUACUGUUGAACUUGAGGUCGGGAGAGGUUAGCGGUCCUCCCAGGGAAGAGGUGAAAUUCUGUAAUCCUGGGAGGACCACCUGUGGCGAAGGCGGCUAUCUGGAACGAACCUGACGGUGAGGGACGAAAGCUAGGGGCGCGAACCGGAUUAGAUACCCGGGUAGUCCUAGCCGUAAACGAUGCGGACUUGGUGUUGGGAUGGCUUUGAGCCGCUCCGGUGCCGAAGGGAAGCUGUUAAGUCCGCCGCCUGGGAAGUACGGUCGCAAGACUGAAACUUAAAGGAAUUGACGGGG